ensembl:snoRNA
CUGUUGCCUUUGAGCCCCCACCUUACCUGGGUGUGGCAAGCUACAGUGCCAGAGCACGUGUGCUCGGGCAUAACUAGGGUCAUCAGCCCCCUCACAGGCGGCCCUUUUUUAACCUUGAGCAACAGGG